rnacentral:lncRNA from 1 species
CAAAUUUAAUAUGUUGAAAAUGAUUACAGGGAUGGUGUAAGGGAGACGGCGGCGGGGUGACGGAGCUGCUGCUGCAGCGUUUCUGCAGGCUGCGUGAGGAGACUGAGAGCUGGAGCGGAGUGAGACAUCACUGGAGUUGAUCGCAUCUGUACUUCCCUCGGCAUAAUCCAACAGCCUAACCACGAAUCCUUCUUCAUGACGACCUUACAUGGCAGUUCUCUUCUCCGGGGUGUUCUGAGAAGACAGGAGGAGCGGCAGGGGGAGAGGAGCAGAGGGAUGAAGCGAGGGGAAGCACGAUGGCAGACCAAGACAUGAAGAAGUAGAAUAAUUUAGGCUUAGGGUGAGCGGUCAUCUGCCUUUAGGACCCGUCAUACCGGUGCCUCCAACAACACAAACUCCUUCCAGACCUGGAUAAAAGAAGAGAAUGGAUGAGAGAGAUGCACACAUCCUCUAUGCCCACUCUUUGGGAAUAACUGAAGAUCAGAAGGGACUUUCAAGUUUAGAUUUAAAGAUCUUUAAGUAGUCAGACUAUAUGAAGUCAGCAGGAAAGUUUUUGGAAAGUAAGGGAGCAAGGUUGGUAAAGGCCCUGUAGCCAGCUGAUGUCUUUGUACCGUGACAGCAUUCUGAGUGGACACUGAUUUCUGGCACUUUUCUGAAACCGAAACCACUGUAAGUUGACAACAUCAUGUGUAACUUUAAAUUCAGAAUAAAC